rnacentral:rRNA from 1 species
CCUACGGGUGACAGCAGUGAGGAAUAUUGGUCAAUGGGCGCGAGCCUGAACCAGCCAAGUAGCGUGAAGGAUGACUGCCCUAUGGGUUGUAAACUUCUUUUAUACGGGAAUAAAGUGAGGCACGUGUGCCUUUUUGUAUGUACUUUAUGAAUAAGGAUCGGCUAACUCCGUGCCAGCAGCCGCGGUAAUACGGAGGGUCCGAGCGUUAUCCGGAUUUAUUGGGUUUAAAGGGAGCGUAGAUGGCUUGUUAAGUCAGUUGUGAAAGUUUGCGGCUCAACCGUAAAAUUGCAAUUGAUACUGGCAGGCUUGAGUACGGGUGAGGUAGGCGGAAUUCGUGGUGUAGCGGUGAAAUGCUUAGAUAUCACGAAGAACUCCGAUUGCGAAGGCAGCUUACGAAACUGCCACUGACAUUGAUGCUCGAAAGUGUGGGUAUCAAACAGGAUUAGAUACCCCAGUAGUC